rnacentral:tRNA from 1 species
GGGAAUAUAGCUUAGUGGUAGAGCGCUUGCCUAGCAUGCAUGCAGCCCUGGGUUUGAUUCCUCAGUACCA